CCUACGGGAGGCUGCAGUGGGGAAUAUUGGACAAUGGGGGCAACCCUGAUCCAGCCAUGCCGCGUGUGUGAAGAAGGCCCUCGGGUUGUAAAGCACUUUCAGUGAGGAAGAACGCCUGGUGGUUAAUACCCAUCAGGAAAGACAUCACUCACAGAAGAAGCACCGGCUAACUCCGUGCCAGCAGCCGCGGUAAUACGGAGGGUGCGAGCGUUAAUCGGAAUUACUGGGCGUAAAGCGCGCGUAGGUGGCUUGAUAAGCCGGUUGUGAAAGCCCCGGGCUCAACCUGGGAACGGCAUCCGGAACUGUCAAGCUAGAAUGCAGGAGAGGAAGGUAGAAUUCCCGGUGUAGCGGUGAAAUGCGUAGAGAUCGGGAGGAAUACCAGUGGCGAAGGCGGCCUUCUGGACUGACACUGACACUGAGGUGCGAAAGCGUGGGUAGCAAACAGGAUUAGAUACCCCAGUAGUC
rnacentral:rRNA from 1 species